GGUUGGAUCAUUAUAGUGAAUAGUCUCCUCUCGGAGCGCCGCCUACGCUCUAAGCUAGUCGGUUCCCCGGGAGAGGCUAUCUCUCUAUCGAGGUAUUGAUCUUUUCUCUCUCUCGAAAUCUCUCGAUCUCUCUCGCGAUCGCUUCUCCCCUCUCCGAGGGGGGCGGCGGCAACGGGCGGGGUCGGGGGAUAGAAAAGGGGGAGAGAGAGUGAGGUACCGCGUUAAAAUAAACCAAACCUGUGAUCUAAAAACUGAAUAGAGUAUGUCUUAAAACCUGAACUAGUCGGCGGGGUCUCGAAAGCGAAAGGAAGGCGGGUCGCUCCCUCUUCUUCUAGCCGGUAGGGGUUUUGCCAAAAAAAAAACUAAUAACCUAUUGCGGCGGAUGUCUCGGUUACCCCUUCGAUGAAGAGCGCAGCCAAGUGCGAUAACUAUUGUGAAUUGCAGGGUCUGUGAAUCAUCGAGUUCUUGAACGCAUUGCGCCUUAGAGCCUCGGCUCUUCGGCAUACCUUAUUCAGCGGCUAGCAAUAACUGCCCUCCCUUAAUCCGGAAGGCGAUUGGUCUAAGUAGAACGGGUCGCGGUGGCGGAGUUAGUGGUGCAGUGGACUCGUCCGCGCGCUCUUCCUCUUCCUCCUCUUCCCAUUCUACAGUGACCUAAGGAUUCGCGCUCGGUUCGCCGAGCGCGCUCGCUCGAAACUUUUAGUGUUCUUCGAUGCGACAUCCCCUUACGAAGGCUCGGUAAAAAACGACAGAGGCAGUGAUAGCACCACCACGAAGUUGGGAGGCCUAGCUCUCUAAAGCGUCUCAUCGUCUAUCGGACCAUUAUCUUGUUGAUCUUUCAGCCUCGACGUCCCUCGAGGCUGGCGGAGAGAGGUAAAGGUUACGGCGGUGAGCGAGAGCGAAGCUAAAUUCCAAUGGAAAUUAAAAAAAUGUGGGGAGGAGGGAAUGGUGACGGAGUCUCAAACGUUUUGAAAGGUUUUUUCGGGAAUCAGGUGUCGCGCACUCGGAGGAGCGGAAGUGCGGAUUGCACACUCCACGCUAAUAAGGAGUAAAAGUAAACCAGCUAUCGCCCUGAAUUAAGGUAAGACCACCCCGGGGAUUUAAGCAUAUCAUUACCGGGAGGAAAAGAAACUAACGAGGAUUCCCUUAGUAACUGCGAGUGAAGAGGGAUGAGCUCAAGCCCAAAUCUAGCGGACUUCGGUCCGUUCGAAUUGUAGUUUUGUAAACUAUGCCCGGUCGGAGAUCGCCCAAAAUCUUCUUGGAAUAGAGUGCCAUAGAGGGUGAUAGCCCCGUGGGGCGCUUCUUCGGCCGUCAGGGUAUAAGUUUAGAGAGUCGUACACCUUGAGAUCGGUGUGCAAAUUGGGUGGUAAACUCCAUCUAAAGCUAAAUACUGGGGGGUAAUCCGAUAGUGCACAAGUAGCGUGAGCGAAAGAUGCAAAGAACUCUGGAGAGAGAGUUAAAAGUACCUGAAACCGCAACAGGGGAAGCGAUAGGCCGUAGCCACACGGAGAAGCGAGCUCAAACUAUUCUAGGCUUUCGAGGUGGGGGAAGAGAAAGGCCGAAAGGUCUCCUCGACUCUUGCUUUCGGAGGCUUAGGUGGCGUACUCUCGUCAUCCGACCAGCGGGGAUUGGGUGGGUCUCAAAAAGGGGAAUCGAGGAAGCACUUCGUCAGGGUGUGGAUUCGGUUCUCUCGAUGAGAUUCACGCGGUCCUAGUCUUAAGCUCAUUCUGGGGGCCGCAAGGCGAGUAAAAACUCAAAGUUGGGUUCUUCGAUCAGAGUACUACUUGUAGUGCUUUGGUCGGGGGGUCUUUCCUAGGGAAUAAGCUCACCCUCGAGGGCGCUGGCAGUGCGAGGUUUAUUGUCCCGUCUUGAAACACGGACCAAGGAGUGUAUCGUUGUGCCGAGUCGAAGAGUGAAAAACUCCUAGGCGAAGCGAAAGCAUAGGGAACCUAGCUGGGGCAACCCGGCCGCAGUUCCGUUCUCUCUUGGGGCUUGCCUCUCGAGGGAAAAGGAGGUGCAACGAUACGACCCGAAAGAAGGCGAACUAUACUUGUGUAGAUUGAAGCCAGAAGAAAUUCUGGUGGAGGAUCGUAGCGAUACUGACGUGCAAAUCGUUCGUCAAACAUGGGCAUAGCGGCGAAAGACUAAUCGAGCCUUCUAGUAGCUGGUUCCCUU
rnacentral:misc_RNA from 1 species